rnacentral:tRNA from 1 species
GUGUAGUUAGCUUAAUUGGUCAAAGCACUGGAUUGUGGCUCCAGAGGAUAGAGUUCAAGUCUCUGCUACACCC